rnacentral:tRNA from 1 species
UAUUAAAGUGGCAGAAUUUAUGCUAGGAAUUUAAGCUUCCUGAAAGAAUUAGUUUCCUUUAAUAA